rnacentral:rRNA from 1 species
GACGAACCGAGCGAACGUUAUUCGGAAUCACUGGGCUUAAAGGGCGCGUAGGCGGGCCAUCAAGUCAGGGGUGAAAGCCCCCAGCUCAACUGGGGAAGUGCCUUUGAUACUGGUGGUCUCGAGGGGGAUAGGGGCAUGCGGAACUUCCGGUGGAGCGGUGAAAUGCGUAGAUAUCGGAAGGAACACCGGUGGCGAAAGCGGCGUGCUGGAUCCCUUCUGACGCUGAGGCGCGAAAGCCAGGGGAGCGAACGGG